rnacentral:misc_RNA from 1 species
AAGUCGUAACAAGGUUUCCGUAGGUGAACCUGCGGAAGGAUCAUUACCUUUCUGGCUAUUUAAAUAGCUUUGUCUGGGGGGCGCAGUUUCUGCAGUCUCUACUACAUCCGUGUUUUUUGCGUAACUACAUGUUUCCUCGGCGGGCUUGCAUUGCCGGUUGGAGCAAACUAAAACUCUUUGCAAUUGCAAUCAGCGUCUGAAUUAAUAUAAUUAC